UACGUAGGGUGCGAGCGUUAAUCGGAAUUACUGGGCGUAAAGUGUGCGCAGGCGGCACCGCAAGUCGAGUGUGAAAGCCCCGGGCUUAACUUGGGAAUUGCGCUUGAAACUAUGGUGCUGGAGUGUGGCAGAGGAAGGUGGAAUUCCACGUGUAGCGGUGAAAUGCGUAGAGAUGUGGAGGAACACCGAUGGCGAAGGCAGCCUUCUGGGCCAACACUGACGCUCAUGCACGAAAGCGUGGGGAGCAAACAGG
rnacentral:rRNA from 1 species